rnacentral:rRNA from 1 species
UACGAAGGGGGCUAGCGUUGCUCGGAAUUACUGGGCGUAAAGGGCGCGUAGGCGGACUGUUUAGUCAGAGGUGAAAGCCCAGGGCUCAACCCUGGAAUUGCCUUUGAUACUGGCUGUCUUGAGUACGGGAGAGGUGUGUGGAACUCCGAGUGUAGAGGUGAAAUUCGUAGAUAUUCGGAAGAACACCAGUGGCGAAGGCGACACACUGGCCCGUUACUGACGCUGAGGCGCGAAAGCGUGGGGAGCAAACAGG